UUGUUCGUAACAGGAUACAACCUCUGACACAGGGUAAACAAAGGUGACCUAGACAAAGUGGGCCUAAAAGCAGCCACCUACUAAAAAGCGUUACAGCUUAAUCUUACUCACCUAUAAUCACACAACCCCCCGUCAACCCUUAAUCACUACUGAACCGCUUUAUACCAUAUAAAAGCUAUCAUGCUAGAACUAGUAACAAGAACUACACUUCUCCUAAAUGUGAACUUAAGCCAAAACGGACCCUCCAUUGGCCAUUAACGUACAUGCACUACCCAUAACAACAAUACACUAGAAAACCCUAUAGCACAAAACGUUAACCUAACACUAGAACAUUCAAGGAAAGAUUAAAAGAAAGAGAAGGAACUCGGCAAACCUUAGCCCCGCCUGUUUACCAAAAACAUCGCCUCUUGACACACAUAAGAGGUCCAGCCUGCCCAGUGACAAAGUUUAACGGCCGCGGUACCCUGACCGUGCGAAGGUAGCAUAAUCACUUGUUCUUUAAAUGAGGACUCGUAUCAAUGGCAUCACGAGGGCUAUACUGUCUCCUCUCUCCAAUCAGUGAAACUGAUCUUCCCGUGAAGAAGCGGGAAUUUAACU
rnacentral:rRNA from 1 species